UUUCCGUAGGUGAACCUGCGGAAGGAUCAUUGACACACAUCCUAACUGAUGCUUGUGCCAACAAGCAGACCCAGCGAACCAUUCUCCUACCACUUGAGGGGCUACAUCGCGAGGUGUAGCUGUCGGCGGUCGGGCCCUUGCUUCAGGGGUCGGAGUCCUUGCUGGGUUCACCGUUGCGGGUGAGCCCGGCCGUCCGACGGGGGCCGCUCUUGGGCCUCGCACACGGGAGAGUGCGGGGGUGGCGUUUCCCACUCCAGCUGUCCCUUACGGGGCAGCUGCGCAACCAACCAAACACUAUGCAAAAACCGACUGAAGACCGAUCCUUUGCGGGCGCCUUCGGGAACCCUGCCUCGGAUCAAAAACAAACUAAAGACAACUCUCAACAACGGAUAUCUUGGCUCUC
rnacentral:misc_RNA from 1 species